AGGGGUGGGGACACAGGCCCACAACUUGUCUCCCUGCUAGGGCUGGGGCUGUGUUUUGACCCACUCUCUCAUCCUCUCAGGGUGGUAGACAACGAGGGGACCCUGCAGCUGAAGAGAAGCUUCCCCAUCGAGCAGAGCUCACAUCCUGUGCGCAGCAUCUUCUGUCCCCUCAUGUCCUUCCGCCAGGGGGCCUGCGUGGUGACGGGCAGUGAGGACAUGUGCGUGCACUUCUUUGAUGUGGAGCGGGCGGCCAAGGCUGCUGUCAACAAGCUGCAGGGCCACAGUGCACCUGUGCUUGAUGUCAGCUUCAACUGCGACGAGAGCCUACUGGCCUCCAGUGACGCCAGCGGCAUGGUCAUCGUCUGGAGGCGGGAGCAGAAGUAGGGUCCUGUCGGCCCUGCUGCUGUCCUCCAUCCCACCCCUCUUACUCCAGCCUCGUGUUGUAAAUAAAGUUUCGGUGGUCAUGCUGA
rnacentral:lncRNA from 1 species